GGGCCUCAAAGGAGUUUGUGUCGACACAGAUGCUCCAUUUUCAGGGCUGCCUGUGGAACCAGUUAGAGGAUCUCAGAGGUAGAAGAGCCUCCCUUGCUUGGGAGGCCACAGCCUGGGGUCUGGCGGCCUAGAAGUGUGCGAAGCAAGGCACUGACGAGCAGACCUCCCACCUGAGUGCCAGUGUCAGAAUGCCAAGUCCUGGAAGGUACCAAGUCCCACCUCUUGGUUCUUCAAAGAGACCAGGAGCAUCCAGAGGACCCGAGAGUCUUGUGUUGUUGAGUCUCCGGACCCCAGUACGUUGGCUGGCAGUCGUUGAAACUCGCUACAUACUCAGUGGAUGGAAAGGAGGAAGGAGAGCAGGAAGCUCUGUUUCUUCUAGAUCAUUCACAUUUUUAACAUUACCAAUGUUGCCCAAAAUGCAGUCUAUUUCUGUUACUGAUGACAAUAUACUUAUGAGACCAGUUGCCUGGCGUCCCUGUAGCUGUCGUGCCACGAACCUCCAGCUGUCACGUCAAGAGCCCAGUGUGCCAGGAAACAAGACAAAAUACUCUGCUGCCUUAAUUCUAGUGGGAAUUUAAUUUAAUUAGCAUCUGAUUUACACAAUGUGCUUCUGACAGCUGUGUUUGUGGAGUAUCCAUGGAAGCCAGAGAUUACCAUGCACUGAAAUCAUCAUCAAAGCUCAUUUAUCCCCCUGGCGCAUCUGCCAGCCUUUGGCUGUGGGGACCUCUGCGUGUUUGCUGUGCACUUCACCCAAGUCCCAGUAAAUGACACUCCAGUGAGUAUCCUGGGGUCUGCAGAGUGUUUGGGGCAGACUUGUCCCAGAGCCUCAAUAGGACAAAUCUGAAAAUGGGGCUUUGGAGGUUUAAUCAAAGGACAGGUGCUUUUAAAAGUCUGUUUUUAAGGAACAUUGGGAUCUCAAAUGAGAGAAUCUUACCNUGUCCCAGAGCCUCAAUAGGACAAAUCUGAAAAUGGGGCUUUGGAGGUUUAAUCUAAGGACAGGUGCUUUUAAAAGUCUGUGUUUAAGGAACAUUGGGAUCUCAAAUGAGAGAAUCAGGGCCAGAGGGGUGAUCACAGCUGGGGUGUUUGGGUUUCUCGCUGCUCAGGAAAGAUCUGGGUGAUCUGGGACAGACUGCCUGUGGGGGCCUCUCCUUCAGCACCUGGGGCUGUGCAGGGUGACCAGGGAUUAUCCAUGUUUAUAUUCCCCAUUGCCUGGCACAUAAGAAAUCGUUGUUGAAUGAGUGAACAAACGCAUGGUGUCAGGCAUGAUGGAACCGGCCUGAGCUUUUCAGUCCUGGGCCGGCAGUCAUGCACUAUUACUCCUGUUCCAUAAACCCAUCACCCAAAGAAUAGUUAGGUGAGUUUACAAGUCACUCCAGCACUGGCAGGGGGCGUGUUAGAUCUGGAAUGUUCUAACCAAGCACUGAGGAUGGAAGGUGACCAUCCGAAUAUCAGCACAAGGGGAAUGUCCAGGAGCAGGAGAGUCUUGACUGACACAAAUGAUUUAUUGGAGACAAAUGUUUUAAUAACAAGAGAUAGGAGGUGGGGAUCCCAAAGAAAGAAAAUUAUAUUAACAGAGAUGAAAAUGCAUGAAAUAAGAUUUUUUUUGAGGAGCUAGGAGCUUGGCUUACAGGGAGAGGAAAGGCAGGUUAAAUCAGGACUAGAACAUGAAUGACCUUGAAGACUCUCAAAUUUUACUCGGUAACAAUGUGGGGCCUUUAAGAUUUUUGAGCAGGGUGAUGACCCGAUGAGAUUCAUGGUUUGGAAGAAGAGUCUCCGGUGUAAGGGAAAGAAUGCACAAGCCGAGAGAUGCCCUUACUAGUUCAGCUUAUCCACUGGCAAAGCAAUAAUCAAGAACCAGGCCCACCAGCAAAGCCUGGAAGCAGGGUGACCGGUGUGGAAAUGAGUUUCAGAGAUGAUGUGAAGGGUGAACUGUCAGGUUCCAGCGAUGGAUGGACUCCCAGCUGAGGGUCAAGGGUGCAACUGAAGUAUAGAAGCCUCUGGCUGGGCUGACAGCAAGAAUUUGAUGCCACCAAGAAGAGGGAGAAGUCCAUAGCAGAUGCCGGUAAAAGUAAAAAAUGCUUCCCCCUUAGCCUGCCUGGUUUCCUCGGUUCCGUUCCAGCGUCAUAGAGUGUGAAUAGUAGAAUGACCUUCCGUAGUGUUUCUCAGAGUAAGCUCCUCGGACUGCUGCUUCUCGGCAUGCUCCACGCACAAGUGAUUUUAUAAGCAAAACCAUGCACGUGAGCAUAUGAAAUACUUUGUAAAGUCCUGCAGCAAAGAAACUUUUUCCAUUUUGUUUAGAGGGAACUGCUCCAAAAAAUUAAGUUCCUCAAACCUUCAUGAAAAUAAAGCUUAUGAAUGAAUGAAUGAAUGAAUAAUA
rnacentral:lncRNA from 1 species